CCUACGGGAGGCAGCAGUGAGGAAUAUUGGUCAAUGGGCGUAAGCCUGAACCAGCCAAGUCGCGUGAGGGAUGAAGGUUCUAUGGAUCGUAAACCUCUUUUAUAAGGGAAUAAAGUGUGGGACGUGUCCUAUUUUGUAUGUACCUUAUGAAUAAGGCUCGGCUAACUCCGUGCCAGCAGCCGCGGUAAUACGGAGGAUCCGAGCGUUAUCCGGAUUUAUUGGGUUUAAAGGGUGCGUAGGCGGCCUUUUAAGUCAGCGGUGAAAGUCUGUGGCUCAACCAUAGAAUUGCCGUUGAAACUGGGGGGCUUGAGUAUGUGUGAGGCAGGCGGAAUGCGUGGUGUAGCGGUGAAAGGCGUAGAUAUCACGCAGAACCCCGAUUGCGAAGGCAGCCUGCCAAGCCAUGACUGACGCUGAGGCACGAAAGCGUGGGGAUCAAACAGGAUUAGAUACCCUGGUAGUC
rnacentral:rRNA from 1 species